rnacentral:rRNA from 2 species
GUAAGUGUCUAAGGGCGCAUGGUGGAUGCCUUGGCAUCGAGAGCCGAUGAAGGACGUGGGAGGCUGCGAUAUGCCUCGGGGAGCUGUCAACCGAGCGUGGAUCCGAGGAUUUCCGAAUGGGGAAACCCAGCACGAGUGAUGUCGUGCUACCCGCAUCUGAAUAUAUAGGGUGCGGGAGGGAACGCGGGGAAGUGAAACAUCUCAGUACCCGUAGGAGGAGAAAACAAUUGUGAUUCCGCAAGUAGUGGCGAGCGAACGCGGAACAGGCUAAACCGCACGCAUGGGUAACCGGGUAGGGGUUGUGUGUGCGGGGUUGUGGGAGGAUAUGUCUCAGCGCUACCCGGCUGAGAGGCAGUCAGAAAGUGUCGUGGUUAGCGGAAGUGGCCUGGGAUGGUCUGCCGUAGACGGUGAGAGCCCGGUACGCGAAAACCCGGCACCUGCCUAGUAUCAAUUCCCGAGUAGCAGCGGGCCCGUGGAAUCCGCUGUGAAUCCGCCGGGACCACCCGGUAAGCCUAAAUACUCCUCGAUGACCGAUAGCGGAUUAGUACCGUGAGGGAAUGGUGAAAAGUACCCCGGGAGGGGAGUGAAAGAGUACCUGAAACCGUGUGCCUACAAUCCGUCAGAGCCUCCUUUUCCUCUCCGGAGGAGGGUGGUGAUGGCGUGCCUUUUGAAGAAUGAGCCUGCGAGUCAGGGACAUGUCGCAAGGUUAACCCGUGUGGGGUAGCCGCAGCGAAAGCGAGUCUGAAUAGGGCGACCCACACGCGCAUACGCGCGUGUGAAUAGUGGCGUGUUCUGGACCCGAAGCGGAGUGAUCUACCCAUGGCCAGGGUGAAGCGCGGGUAAGACCGCGUGGAGGCCCGAACCCACUUAGGUUGAAGACUGAGGGGAUGAGCUGUGGGUAGGGGUGAAAGGCCAAUCAAACUCCGUGAUAGCUGGUUCUCCCCGAAAUGCAUUUAGGUGCAGCGUUGCGUGGUUCACCGCGGAGGUAGAGCUACUGGAUGGCCGAUGGGCCCUACUAGGUUACUGACGUCAGCCAAACUCCGAAUGCCGUGGUGUAAAGCGUGGCAGUGAGACGGCGGGGGAUAAGCUCCGUACGUCGAAAGGGAAACAGCCCAGAUCGCCGGCUAAGGCCCCCAAGCGUGUGCUAAGUGGGAAAGGAUGUGCAGUCGCAAAGACAACCAGGAGGUUGGCUUAGAAGCAGCCACCCUUGAAAGAGUGCGUAAUAGCUCACUGGUCAAGUGAUUGUGCGCCGAUAAUGUAGCGGGGCUCAAGCACACCGCCGAAGCCGCGGCACAUCCACCUUGUGGUGGGUGUGGGUAGGGGAGCGUCCCUCAUUCAGCGAAGCCACCGGGUGACCGGUGGUGGAGGGUGGGGGAGUGAGAAUGCAGGCAUGAGUAGCGACAAGGCAAGUGAGAACCUUGCCCGCCGAAAGACCAAGGGUUCCUGGGCCAGGCCAGUCCGCCCAGGGUGAGUCGGGACCUAAGGCGAGGCCGACAGGCGUAGUCGAUGGACAACGGGUUGAUAUUCCCGUACCCGUGUGUGGGCGCCCGUGACGAAUCAGCGGUACUAACCACCCAAAACCGGAUCGAUCACUCCCCUUCGGGGGUGUGGAGUUCUGGGGCUGCGUGGGAACUUCGCUGGUAGUAGUCAAGCGAAGGGGUGACGCAGGAAGGUAGCCGUACCAGUCAGUGGUAACACUGGGGCAAGCCGGUAGGGAGAGCGAUAGGCAAAUCCGUCGCUCACUAAUCCUGAGAGGUGACGCAUAGCCGGUUGAGGCGAAUUCGGUGAUCCUCUGCUGCCAAGAAAAGCCUCUAGCGAGCACACACACGGCCCGUACCCCAAACCGACACAGGUGGUCAGGUAGAGCAUACCAAGGCGUACGAGAUAACUAUGGUUAAGGAACUCGGCAAAAUGCCCCCGUAACUUCGGGAGAAGGGGGACCGGAAUAUCGUGAACACCCUUGCGGUGGGAGCGGGAUCCGGUCGCAGAAACCAGUGAGGAGCGACUGUUUACUAAAAACACAGGUCCGUGCGAAGUCGCAAGACGAUGUAUACGGACUGACGCCUGCCCGGUGCUGGAAGGUUAAGAGGACCCGUUAACCCGCAAGGGUGAAGCGGAGAAUUUAAGCCCCAGUAAACGGCGGUGGUAACUAUAACCAUCCUAAGGUAGCGAAAUUCCUUGUCGGGUAAGUUCCGACCUGCACGAAUGGCGUAACGACUUCUCAACUGUCUCAACCAUAGACUCGGCGAAAUUGCACUACGAGUAAAGAUGCUCGUUACGCGCGGCAGGACGAAAAGACCCCGGGACCUUCACUACAACUUGGUAUUGAUGUUCGGUACGGUUUGUGUAGGAUAGGUGGGAGA